GGCAAGAACAAUUUCAUAUUAUAGCUUAAUGGUAACUUAGUUAAUUUAACUUCUAUCUCUAAAAUAAUUAAUAUACAAUACAAUUUCAUCAUCACAUCACAUAAUUUUUUUUCUUUUUUUUAAAAGAUAUAGUUUAUCAAGUGAUUUUUUAGUUUAAUUAUCUUAGUUGUAUUUUUUUUUCACAGAUUUAGAUUCGUAUUUGUGUUCUGAUGCUGAUAUAGAG
rnacentral:lncRNA from 1 species